AUUGAACGCUGGCGGCAUGCUUUACACAUGCAAGUCGAACGGCAGCGCGGGCUUCGGCCUGGCGGCGAGUGGCGAACGGGUGAGUAAUAUAUCGGAACGUACCCAAGAGUGGGGAUAACGUAGCGAAAGUUACGCUAAUACCGCAUACGAUCUAAGGAUGAAAGCAGGGGAUCGCAAGACCUUGUGCUCCUGGAGCGGCCGAUAUCUGAUUAGCUAGUUGGUGGGGUAAAGGCCCCACCAAGGCAACGAUCAGUAGCUGGUCUGAGAGGACGACCAGCCACACUGGAACUGAGACACGGUCCAGACUCCUACGGAGGCAGCAGUGGGGAAUUUUGGACAAUGGGGGGCAACCCUGAUCCAGCAAUGCCGCGUGAGUGAAGAAGGCCUCGGUUGUAAG
rnacentral:rRNA from 1 species